rnacentral:rRNA from 1 species
GACGAACGCUGGCGGCGUGCCUAACACAUGCAGGUCGAGCGAAUGAAGUUCCUUCGGGAACGGAUUUAGCGGCGGACGGGUGAGUAACACGUGGGCAACUUGCCUCUUAGAGGGGAUUAGCCUUCCGAAAGGGAGAUUAAUACCCCAUAAGAUUGUAGUACCGCAUGGUACAGCAAUUAAAGGAGCAAUCCGCUAUGAGAUGGGCCCGCGGCGCAUUAGCGAGUUGGUGAGGUAAUGGCUCACCAAGGCGACGAUGCGUAGCCGAGCUGAGAGGGUGAUCGGCCACACUGGGACUGAGACACGGCCCAGACUCCUACGGGAGGCAGCAGUGGGGGAUAUUGCAAAAUGGGGGAAACCCUGAUGCAGCAACGCCGGGUGAGUGAUGACGGCCUUGGGGUUGUAAAGCUCUGUCUUCAGGGACGAUAAUGACGGUACCUGAGGAGGAAGCCACGGCUAACUACGUG